CAUUUUUGUAAAAAAAAAAGGUGCUCACCUGUGGUCUUUUCAUAGUGCCUACUUCCUGAUUAAAGUGGUAACAAUUAACCAUUGAAGUGUUUGGCCAGGUGGCACAUAUAUU